rfam:Oryza sativa (indica cultivar-group) chromosome 3, whole genome shotgun sequence.
CAUUAUAUUAAUCAUUCCUUUUCGUGUCCAACUUUGAUAGUCCGUCUUAUAUGAAGUUUUUUUAUAAUUCGUAUUUUCAUUGUUGUUAGAUGAUAAAACAUGAUUAAUAUUUUAUACGUGACUUGUUUUUUUAAUUUUUUUUAUAAUUUUUUUAAAUAAGACGGACAGUCAAACAUUAGGCACGAAAACUAGGGUUUGUGUUUUUU